rnacentral:tRNA from 4 species
GGAGAGGUGGCUGAGCGGUCGAAAGCGACACACUGCUAACGUGUUAUCCCUUAACCGGGAUCGUGGGUUCGAAUCCCACCCUCUCCGCCA